GGACUACUAGGGUAUCUAAUCCUGUUUGCUCCCCACGCUUUCGCGCCUCAGCGUCAGUAUCGGUCCAGAGCGCCGCCUUCGCCACCGGUGUUCUUCCCAAUAUCUACGAAUUUCACCUCUACACUGGGAAUUCCACGCUCCUCUCCCGAUCUCCAGCCUCGCCGUCCCAAGCGCCAUUCCCAGGUUGAGCCCGGGGCUUUCACGCCUGACAAACAAGGCCGCCUGCGCGCCCUUUACGCCCAGUGAUUCCGAACAACGCUCGCCCCCUUCGUAUUACCGCGGCUGCUGGCAC
rnacentral:rRNA from 1 species